rnacentral:piRNA from 1 species
AGAGAAGCUGAACAAGAAGGAGG